UACGGAGGAUCCGAGCGAUAUCCGGAUUUAUUGGGUUUAAAGGGAGCGUAGGUGGAUUGUUAAGUCAGUUGUGAAAGUUUGCGGCUCAACCCCGGCCCGCCGUUGAAACUGGCAGUCUUGAGUGGGCGAGAAGUAUGCGGAAUGCGUGGUGUAGCGGUGAAAUGCAUAGAUAUCACGCAGAACUCCGAUUGCGAAGGCAGCAUACCGGCGCCCAACUGACGCUGAAGCACGAAAGCGUGGGUAUCGAACAGG
rnacentral:rRNA from 1 species